UGGGGAAUAUUGGACAAUGGGGGCAACCCUGAUCCAGCCAUGCCGCGUGUGUGAAGAAGGCCUUUUGGUUGUAAAGCACUUUAAGCAGUGAAGAAGACUCCAUGGUUAAUACCCAUGGACGAUGACAUUAGCUGCAGAAUAAGCACCGGCUAACUCUGUGCCAGCAGCCGCGGUAAUACAGAGGGAGCAAGCGUUAAUCGGCAUUACUGGGCGUAAAGCGAGCGUAGGUGGCUUGAUAAGUCAGAUGUGAAAGCCCCGGGCUUAACCUGGGAACGGCAUCUGAUACUGUUAGGCUAGAGUAGGUGAGAGGAAGGUAGAAUUCCAGGUGUAGCGGUGAAAUGCGUAGAGAUCUGGAGGAAUACCGAUGGCGAAGGCAGCCUUCUGGCAUCAUACUGACACUGAGGUUCGAAAGCGUGGGUAGCAAACA
rnacentral:rRNA from 1 species